UAUAUGUAUACUGUAUGUCUAACUCUUGCUCUUUCUUUUUUCUUCUCUAGGUAUACAUGUACCUCUCAGUCUCACAUGUCUUCACUCUUUCUCGCGUUAGCGCAAGCAUAACUGCAUUGUCUGUUGAGGUCCCAUCAAAUGCACUUGCUGAAAUAUCUGGCAAAUAUUGUGGGAACAGAAACACAUGCUAACAAACGUUGUGGAGAAUGGAAAGACAAAUACUUGCCAAUUAAUGAUAAAAGAAAUGCCUAAUUUGAAGAAUGAAUUACACUUAUUUUCAUAAUCAAGAAGCUGAUGUGUCAAGAUGAACUCAAACAAUGGAACAUUUUAUAUAAUUUCUGUACUUGUUGAAUGGGCUGAAGCAUUCAUAAUGUGUCUCCAUAUCUUGUUAUACCAAGCUUAGGACUGAUGUCAUCAUUAAGUCUUAGAUUCAAGCAAGUUCAAGUCGUAUUUACCUCUUUAUAUUUGAGUGAAAAGACAUCAAGAUCACAUUACAAACAUUGUUCUUUUUUAAUAAAAAUAAUUGUCAUAAAUUGUCUUACAAAUGCA